rnacentral:lncRNA from 1 species
AAAGGCCUCUCCACUGGAUUCUUCACUACAGCAUUUGUGCCCUGCCCCUUCCAGACCUUCUGGGGCACCUCAGGACAAAUACACAUGCAGUCCCCACCCCUGUGCAGCCCACCACGGUUCUACACCCAUCAGGGCUCUCCCAGCUUCCCUUCUCUUACUCCCCAUUCCAUCCUUUAAAUUCCAGGGCCCAACUCUUCCUUGCUCAUCUUCUCAGGCUGCUUGAAAAGUCAAUCUUUGCACUACACUAUCUUGACCUUGUUGAACCUCUUCACUAAACAAUUCCCCAGCCCCCUCCCCCCGCCCCCCGGGUCCCGUCCCAGAGCCCUGUAAUUCCUGACACCCUCUUCUAGCGUCCUUUCAGCUUUUUCUUCCAGAACUGCCUGUCCUAUUAACGCCCAGCUCUAAACUCUCGUUCCUUUAGUCCUUCCACAAACGCUCCAAUUUCUGACUCCACCUGGUUGUAAUCCAGGUCUCCUUCUGUCUCCCUCACUUUGCAGAAUUUACACCCAUCAGCCAGCUAUUGGCCUACACCUUGUGGAUCCCACCCCAGCCGAUCCCAGCCCCUCAGCUCAUCCCUGGCUCGGCACUAGUUCACACCCUUGUCACGUCUGGCUCUUAAUCACUCUCUCUCCUACUCCCAACUAUUACGCGGUUCUGCUCCUUGUCUUCCACUUACAACUCUUCUGCCCCUGGCACCCCUCACCCCAACACCACCCACCUGCCAAGCCUUGUCUCUUCCAGACCCCUGCUCCUAGCCCUGACCCCGGAUCCCUCUUCCCAGCCCCGGGCUUCCUAACCUCAUCCCGGGGACAGCCUGGGUUUCCUUUUCUCUCCUCUUCCCGGCUCCUAACCCUUUCUCCUAAUCCUCAUCUCAAACUCGGCACCCGCUGCCCCCGCAGCGUGCCUUCCCCUCUCUCGCCUCAGGGCUUUCACCUCAGAACCCAGACGUCGCCCACCCCGCCAAAAACGCGCAGCGCCCGCGCGCCGGGGCUGUCGCCGCCCGUCGUCCCCGCCCCGGGCGCCCCAGGCCUGCCGGCGUCGCGAUCCCGCCCCCUGCCGCCGCUCCUCCCGCCCGCCAGGCGCGCGCCGCCUUUGUCGCCCCUCACCCGGUGUGUGAGAGGCUUGUUUUCCUCCUUUAAAAGGGGACGGGAGGGGAGGGCCGGCACGCCGGGGCCGGGUGUCCCGGCCCCCGAAUGUCCGCGCGGGUUCCCAGACACCGCAGCCCCCCACACCCCCCCCGGGCCGCCUCCUCGGCCGCUCCGCCGGCCCUCCGCCCCCUCCCCAAGCACCCCCUCUAUUUACCGCCAUCAUCAGCACGCGCGAGCUGUCACCAGGGCGCGGAGACCAGCGAGCAGACCACGCCCCCUGCCGCCCAUUGGUCCGCCGGCCACAGCCCCGCCCCCAGGGCCCCG